rnacentral:misc_RNA from 1 species
GCAGUUGGAGAUGCGCUGUGGCGGCUCUUCCUCGCUGCCGUGGUGGGAUCCACUCGGCCGUCAUGAGAAGCAGAAUCCACAGCUGCGAGAUGGAGUCUACUCGAAUCUUGAAAAGCAGAAUCCACAGCUGCGAGAUGGAGUCCACUCGUAUCUUGGGAAGCAGAGUCCACAGCUGCCGAUGCUGCUGCUGGCCGCUACUGCUAGAAGCCGCCUCUACAUACGCGCCGUACAGGAUUCCCGUAGGCAGUUCUCGAUGCGCUGUGGCGGCUCUUCCUCGCUGCCGAGGUGGGAUCCACUCGGCCGUCCUGAGAAGCAGAGUCCACAGCUGCGAGAUGGAGUCUACUCGAAUCUUGAAAAGCAGAAUCCACAGCUGCGAGAUGGAGUCCACUCGUAUCUUGGGAAGCAGAGUCCACAGCUGCCGAUGCUGCUGCUGGCCGCUACUGCUAGAAGCCGCCUCUACAUACGCGCCGUACAGGAUUCCCGUAGGCAGUUCUCGGUGCGGUGUAGCGGCUCUUCCUCGCG